GGGUCUCUCUCAAGGCUGAAAUCAGUGUGUCAACCAGGGCUGGGAGCUCAUCUGAAGGCUCAACAGGGGAUGUAUCCACUGCAGGCCUCUUCUCAGGAUAUUGUUGACACAAUUUAGCUCCUUGAGGGUGCUGGACUGAGGGCCUCACUUCCUAGAUGACUGUUGGCCAGUGGCCACCAGCAAUUCUUUGCCACAUGAGCCUCUCCAGUAUUGCAGCUUGCUUCAUCAAAGUGUGCAAGACAAGAAGACAAAAAAGAGAGCUGCAAGAAAGACGGAAACCAAGAUCUCAUGUAACCUAAUGACAGAGGACGAAGUCUUGCUCUGUUGACCAAGCUGGAUGGAGUGCAGUGGUGCGAUCACAACUCACUGCAACCUUGACCUCCUGGGCCCAAGCAAUCCUCCUGCUUCAGCCUACCAAAGUGUUGGGAUUACAGGAAUGAGCUACCAUGCCCAGCCAAAAGCCCAGGGUUUUGUUGGAUGGUAGUACAAGGAGAUGCUUUCUCACUGCACCCCCACCUCCCAUCUUUGAGGAUAAACAAGGAAGCACGUCUUCCCAAGAGGCAGGGGCUAUCUUGAAACCAUGAAGAAAGACUCAUCCUGAGAAGAACGCAAACACCAAACAAGUGGAACCUGGAGAUACUGAGAGAAACAGGGUCCUGGUUGUGUCCCCUGAGCUGCUGAACUUUUCAGAUGCACAAACCCAUUACAUUUUUUUAUUAAAAAUGGUUUGAGUCCGGUUUUCUCUU
rnacentral:lncRNA from 1 species